AUUGAACGCUGGCGGCAGGCCUAACACAUGCAAGUCGAACGGUAACGGGCCUUCGGGUGCCGACGAGUGGCGAACGGGUGAGUAAAGUAUCGGAACGUACCUUUCAGUGGGGGAUAACGUAGCGAAAGUUACGCUAAUACCGCAUAUUCUGUGAGCAGGAAAGCAGGGGAUCGCAAGACCUUGCGCUGAUUGAGCGGCCGAUUUCAGAUUAGCUAGUUGGUGAGGUAAGGGCUCACCAAGGCGACGAUCUGUAGCGGGUCGAAGAGGAUGAUCCGCAACACUGAAACUGAGAACCGGUCCGGACUCCGAGGGGAGGAAGAGGUGGGGAAUUUUGGAAAAUGGGGGAAACCCUGAUCCGGCCAUGCCGCGUGAGGGAAGAAGCCCUUCGGGUUGUAAAGCUUUUUCGGCCGGGAAGAAAUCGUGCGGGUUAAUCCCCUGUGCGGAUGACGGUACCGGCAUAAGAAGCACCGGCUAACUACGUGCCAGCCGCCGCUGUAAUAC
rnacentral:rRNA from 1 species